AGAGUUUGAUCAUGGCUCAGGAUGAACGCUGGCGGCGUGCUUAACACAUGCAAGUCGAACGGUGAACACGGAGCUUGCUCUGUGGGAUCAGUGGCGAACGGGUGAGUAACACGUGAGCAACCUGCCCCUGACUCUGGGAUAAGCGCUGGAAACGGCGUCUAAUACUGGAUAUGUGACGUGACCGCAUGGUCUGCGUCUGGAAAGAAUUUCGGUUGGGGAUGGGCUCGCGGCCUAUCAGCUUGUUGGUGAGGUAAUGGCUCACCAAGGCGUCGACGGGUAGCCGGCCUGAGAGGGUGACCGGCCACACUGGGACUGAGACACGGCCCAGACUCCUACGGGAGGCAGCAGUGGGGAAUAUUGCACAAUGGGCGCAAGCCUGAUGCAGCAACGCCGCGUGAGGGACGACGGCCUUCGGGUUGUAAACCUCUUUUAGCAGGGAAGAAGCGAAAGUGACGGUACCUGCAGAAAAAGCGCCGGCUAACUACGUGCCAGCAGCCGCGGUAAUACGUAGGGCGCAAGCGUUAUCCGGAAUUAUUGGGCGUAAAGAGCUCGUAGGCGGUUUGUCGCGUCUGCUGUGAAAUCCGGAGGCUCAACCUCCGGCCUGCAGUGGGUACGGGCAGACUAGAGUGCGGUAGGGGAGAUUGGAAUUCCUGGUGUAGCGGUGGAAUGCGCAGAUAUCAGGAGGAACACCGAUGGCGAAGGCAGAUCUCUGGGCCGUAACUGACGCUGAGGAGCGAAAGGGUGGGGAGCAAACAGGCUUAGAUACCCUGGUAGUCCACCCCGUAAACGUUGGGAACUAGUUGUGGGGUCCAUUCCACGGAUUCCGUGACGCAGCUAACGCAUUAA
rnacentral:rRNA from 1 species